rnacentral:rRNA from 1 species
AUGCCCAAGCGCACCAUGGGAGGGAGGGCCGACGCCGGGUCCGACGCCAUGGCGCAUGAAGCAUCCAAGCGCCGUGCGAAGCUGCACAUGGAGAAACCCCUCCCCGCCGACGAGGGGUCCAGCCGGCAGCAGGGCGGCCGUGACGUCGUCGACCAUGUCCAGGCUCCGGUGCAGGUGUCACCUACGCCGGAGAAGGUGGCUCAUUCGCUGGAGCAGGUAGCUGCUCUGGCACCUCAGACGGAGCAGGUGUCUCCUCUGCCGUGGGUGACGCCUCCGGUGCCCGAGCCUGUGGUCGCCGGCGACGUUAACAAAGACGACGUAGCUCCUCUGGCUCCUUUGCCGGAGCAGGUGGUGGCUCCUCAGCCUCAGUCGGGUGUUCGUCUUCCGCGGUUUUUGCCUCCUCUGCCCCCACCUGUGGUCGUGGCCGACGAGAAUGAAGAAGAGGUCCUAAGUGACGAUGUCGACAGUGACCAAGAAACCCAGAGGAUCUACAGGAGGCAGAAGGUGAGGGAGCUGGACAGUGGUGUGGUCGAGAAAUGUGUCAGGCCAAGAAUCGGAAGGGGGCUACGGAUGCCCUUACUGAAACAAGCUGAUGAAAGGCGACCUGAGAAGUACCAUCAACCAUGCAGUCGGAACAUCCCAAGCCAGCAUCAAGAAUGGCUACGCUUUCAGGGUGAAGCAUGA